AAUAUAAAUAUUACAAAUUUUAUACAAACGUUCAAUUGACAGUUUGUGUUCGUCCAAGUGUACACAACCUAUCGUAAUACAAAGACGAGCUGUGAUUGGUCGGGUCGGCACGCAUGCGCAUACGC